CCUACGGGAGGCAGCAGUGAGGAAUAUUGGUCAAUGGCCGGAAGGCUGAACCAGCCAAGCCGCGUGAAGGACGAAGGUGCCAAGCAUUGUAAACUUCUUUUGUCAAGGGACAAAAUCAGGCUCGAGAGCCUGACCGAGGGUACUUGAAGAAAAAGCAUCGGCUAACUCCGUGCCAGCAGCCGCGUUAAUACGGAGGAUGCGAGCGUUAUCCGGAUUUAUUGGGUUUAAAGGGUGCGUAGGCGGUCGGUUAAGUCAGCGGUAAAAGCCCGGGGCUCAACCCCGGCGAGCCGUUGAAACUGGCGGUCUUGAGAUGUCGAGAGGUAUGCGGAAUGCGCAGUGUAGCGGUGAAAUGCUUAGAUAUUGCGCAGAACUCCGAUUGCGAAGGCAGCAUACCGGCGGCGAUCUGACGCUGAGGCACGAAAGCGUGGGUAUCGAACAGGAUUAGAUACCCCGGUAGUC
rnacentral:rRNA from 1 species